AGGCACCACCAACCUUGCCCAUUCUCAGCCCAGCACAGUGCCACAGAGGGCCACCCAAACAGCCAGGACGAAGAGCCAAGAACAAGACCUACACACACACCUUCCUGUGCCGGGGCAGAGGACGGGAGAGGGAGGUGUAGAAUGCAGAAGAUAGAAGUGGGGAGAAAUAGUGCUAUCUUCGAAGUAUGGCGCGCACCAUGGUGAUCGUACCGUACUGAACCUCACAACUCCUGCUGGCCC